ACACAUGCAAGUCGAACGAAGCACUUAAGUUUGAUUCUUCGGAUGAAGACUUUUGUGACUGAGUGGCGGACGGGUGAGUAACGCGUGGGUAACCUGCCUCAUACAGGGGGAUAACAGUUAGAAAUGGCUGCUAAUACCGCAUAAGACCACAGCACCGCAUGGUGCAGGGGUAAAAACUCCGGUGGUAUGAGAUGGACCCGCGUCUGAUUAGCUGGUUGGUGGGGUAACGGCCUACCAAGGCGACGAUCAGUAGCCGACCUGAGAGGGUGACCGGCCACAUUGGGACUGAGACACGGCCCAAACUCCUAUGGGAGGCAGCAGUGGGGAAUAUUGCACAAUGGGGGAAACCCUGAUGCAGCGACGCCGCGUGAAGGAUGAAGUAUUUCGGUAUGUAAACUUCUAUCAGCAGGGAAGAAAAUGACGGUACCUGACUAAGAAGCCCCGGCUAACUACGUGCCAGCAGCCGCGGUAAUACGUAGGGGGCAAGCGUUAUCCGGAUUUACUGGGUGUAAAGGGAGCGUAGACGGUAUGGCAAGUCUGAUGUGAAAGGCCAGGGCUCAACCCUGGGACUGCAUUGGAAACUGUCGAACUAGAGUGUCGGAGAGGCAAGUGGAAUUCCUAGUGUAGCGGUGAAAUGCGUAGAUAUUAGGAGGAACACCAGUGGCGAAGGCGGCUUGCUGGACGAUGACUGACGUUGAGGCUCGAAAGCGUGGGGAGCAAACAGGAUUAGAUACCCUGGUAGUCCACGCCGUAAACGAUGACUACUAGGUGUCGGGUAGCAGAGCUAUUCGG
rnacentral:rRNA from 1 species